UUUAAGAUAAUUGGAGUGCUAAAGCUAAAAGACGAAAUACCACCGGGACUGGUCGAAUGAGGCACCUAAAAAUUGUAUACCGCAGAUUCAGGCAUGGAUUCCGUGAAGGAACAACACCUAAACCCAAGCGAGCGGCUGUUGCAGCAUCCAGUUCAUCCUAAGGAUUUCAACAAUUAGUCGCGCAAUAAAUGUUCUGGCUUUUAAAAAUA